rnacentral:lncRNA from 1 species
CGGUUGAAAGUUUACUCCCGGUUAGAGCCUCCAACCGGGACAAAAGGGAAUUGGAAUUACCAACAGGGACUAAACUUUUUGUCCCGGUUGCAAAUACCAACCGGGAGUAAAUCUCCCCUCCAUUCUUGCCUACCAUGACGCACCCCUUUUAUUCCGGAUCAACUUUAAAUCGGAAAAAAAGAAGCGCAUCGAAGAUCAGUUCUCCAGUGCACAUUACCGCCGGAUCGGUGCACUCGAUCGCGAACCCAACCAAGCAAACACAACCCUUGUUUAGUUCACCCCCAACUCCCAACUUUGGCACUAUGCAAAAAGAAGAUUCCCCAUCACAUCAAAC